rnacentral:rRNA from 1 species
AUACGGAGGAUCCGAGCGUUAUCCGGAUUUAUUGGGUUUAAAGGGUGCGCAGGCGGCCAUUUAAGUCAGCGGUUAAAUCGUGGGGCUCAACCCCAUUCUGCCGUUGAUACUGGGUGGCUUGAUUGCGGUCGAGGUUGGCGGAAUUCGUUGUGUAGCGGUGAAAUGCAUAGAUAUGACGAAGAACACCGAUUGCGUAGGCAGCUGACCAGACCGCAAAUGACGCUCACGCACGAAAGUGCGGGGAUCGAACAGGAUUAGAUACCCUGGUAGUCCGCACAGUAAACGAUGAAUACUUGUUUUCGGCGAUAUAAUGUCGGAGGCAAAGCGAAAGCGAUAAGUAUUCCACCUGGGGAGUACGCCGGCAACGGUGAAACUCAAAUGAAUUGACGGGG